GUUCACUUCGGCAGUACUUAUACUAAAAUUGGAACGAUACAGCGAUUGGCACCGCCCUUGCUCUACAAUGACACGCAAAUUCAUGAGGCAUUCCAUGUUUUC